AUCACUUCUCGGCCUUUUGGCUAAGAUCAAGUGUAAAAUGUAUUAGCUUCAUAAAAAUCAAUUUUUGAAUCUAGUUUUGACUUUCCAUUUUAUUUUUUCAAGAGACUUUAACAUCUUUUCUGUUGCCUUCUACAUUUGAUAGGCAGUUCUUAAAAUUCUCC
ensembl:snRNA U2 U2 spliceosomal RNA